rnacentral:rRNA from 1 species
AGGACGAACGCUGGCGGCGUGCCUAACACAUGCAAGUCGAACGAGGUCCAACUAGUGGCAACACUUGUGAAGAUCUAGUGGCGAACGGGUGAGUAACACGUGAGGAACCUACCCCGGAGACCGGGAUAACUGGCCGAAAGGCCAGCUAAUACCGGAUGUCCCCAUCGGAUCGCAUGGUCUGAUGCGGAAAUGGAUUCCGCUCCGGGAGGGCCUCGCGGCCCAUCAGCUUGUUGGUGAGGUAACGGCUCACCAAGGCAUCGACGGGUAGCUGGUCUGAGAGGACGACCAGCCACACUGGGACUGAGACACGGCCCAGACUCCUACGGGAGGCAGCAGUGGGGAAUCUUGCGCAAUGGGCGAAAGCCUGACGCAGCAACGCCGCGUGGGGAUGAAGGCCUUCGGGUUGUAACCCUUUCAGCAGGGACGAAUUGACGGUACCUGCAGAGAAGCCCGGCUAACUACGUGCCAGCAGCCGCGGU